GAUGAAGAACGUAGCGAAAUGCGAUAAGUAAUGUGAAUUGCAGAAUUCAGUGAAUCAUCGAAUCUUUGAACGCACAUUGCGCCCAUUAGUAUUCUAGUGGGCAUGCCUGUUCGAGCGUCAUUUCAACCCUUAAGCCCCUGUUGCUUAGCGUUGGGAGCCUACAGCCUGCUGUAGUUCCUCAAAGUUAGUGGCGGAGUCAGUUCACACUCUAGACGUAGUAAAAUCUUUAUCUCGCCUAUAGAUGAGCUGGCGCCUUGCCGUAAAAACCCCUAAUCUUUUACAAGGUUGACCUCGGAUCAGGUAGGAAUACCCGCUGAACUUAAGCACAUCAAUAAGCGGAGGA
rnacentral:misc_RNA from 1 species